UACGGGAGGCAGCAGUAGGGAAUCUUCCGCAAUGGACGAAAGUCUGACGGAGCAACGCCGCGUGAACGAUGAAGGCUUUCGGGUCGUAAAGUUCUGUUGUUAGGGAAGAACAAGUACCGGAGUAACUGCCGGUACCUUGACGGUACCUAACCAGAAAGCCACGGCUAACUACGUGCCAGCAGCCGCGGUAAUACGUAGGUGGCAAGCGUUGUCCGGAAUUAUUGGGCGUAAAGCGCGCGCAGGCGGUCCUUUAAGUCUGAUGUGAAAGCCCACGGCUCAACCGUGGAGGGUCAUUGGAAACUGGGGGACUUGAGUGCAGAAGAGGAGAGUGGAAUUCCACGUGUAGCGGUGAAAUGCGUAGAGAUGUGGAGGAACACCAGUGGCGAAGGCGACUCUCUGGUCUGUAACUGACGCUGAGGCGCGAAAGCGUGGGGAGCGAACAGGGAUUAGAUACC
rnacentral:rRNA from 1 species